AUUGAACGCUGGCGGCAGGCCUAACACAUGCAAGUCGAGCGGACGAAGGGAGCUUGCUCUUGGAUUCAGUUGCGGACGGGUGAGUAAUGCCCAGGAAUCUACCUGGUAGUGGGGGAUAACGUCCGGAAACGGGAGCUAAUCCCGUAUACGUCCUGAGGGUGAAAGUGGGGGUUCUUUGGACCUCACGCUUUUAGAUGAGCCUAGGUCGGAUUUGCUAGUUGGUCUGGUAAAGCCCUACCAAGGCAACGAUCCGUGACUGGUCUGAGAGGAUGAUCAGUCACACUGGAACUGAGACACGGUCCAGACUCCUACGGGAGGCAGCAGUGGGGAAUAUUGGACAAUGGGCGAAAGCCUGAUCCAGCCAUGCCGCGUGAGUGAAGAAGGUCUUCGGAUUGUAAAGCACUUUAAGUAGGGAGGAAGGGCAGUAAGUUUAUACCUUGAUGUUUUGACGUUACCAACAGAAUAAGCACCGGCUAACUACGUG
rnacentral:rRNA from 1 species